AUUGACUUCUUGAGAUAUCGAUCGACAUAACAAAGAAACCUUGGCUGACAAGCUGAGUAAAAAGCGAACCCCUCUGACGAGAGCUGUGAAUUUAUUUGACUUACUUAUAAUCUGAUAUCAAAGGUAUUCCGACCCUUUACAGCUGGAAAGGAAAGGAUUUGAAAAUCUAACGAUAUCCGUGGAAUAUUUACCCUAUCGAUUGAUGUUUCAUCUAUUUGAAUAUUCUGUAACCAAUCGACAAGGGCUGUAUCCGGAUGUGAAACCGUACUAUAACUCUGACGGAAUUUCAGGAUGUAUUUUGUAAUAUCCCACCUGUGUGCAAACAAAC